AUUGAACGCUGGCGGCAUGCUUUACACAUGCAAGUCGAACGGCAGCGGGGGCUUCGGCCUGCCGGCGAGUGGCGAACGGGUGAGUAAUGCAUCGGAACGUGCCCAGUCAUGGGGGAUAACUACGCGAAAGCGUAGCUAAUACCGCAUACGCCCUGAGGGGGAAAGCGGGGGAUCGCAAGACCUCGCGUGAUUGGAGCGGCCGAUGUCGGAUUAGCUAGUUGGUGGGUAAAGGCCUACCAAGGCGACGAUCCGUAGCGGGUCUGAGAGGAUGAUCCGCCACACUGGGACUGAGACACGGCCCAGACUCCUACGGGAGGCAGCAGUGGGGAAUUUUGGACAAUGGGGGCAACCCUGAUCCAGCCAUGCCGCGUGAGUGAAGAAGGCCUCGGUUGUAAG
rnacentral:rRNA from 1 species